AGUGUCUGGAUUUAUUGUCAGCAGAUGACAUGGAUCCCUAAGUGGACCAGUCCUUGGCUGGCCUUUCCUUCAGUUUCUGCUCCAUUCUUUCCCCCGGCAUUUCUUAUGACAGGAGGAAUUCUAGAUUAGUAGUUUGAGGUGGGUGUGUUGUCCCUCCCUCAACUAGGGGCCAUGUCUAUCCACUGGAUGUAGUCUCUUCAGGUUCUAUCUCCCCUUUGUUAGGUAUUUUGGCUAAAGUCUUUCCCUUUGGGCCCUGGGACUCUCGAGUGGCUACCCUCACUUCUCCUUACCCCACUGCUACACACCUUUCAAAUUAUUGACCCUCUGUACUUCUUUCCCAUCUUCUCCUAUAUCUAAACUGGUCCCCUUUUUGCUCCUCCUCCUCUCUCUCUUCCAGAAUCCUUUGGAUCUCUGCUUGUCAGAGAUUAUUCUCUUCCUCCUACUGGUUAGUACUGUAGCAUUUACACUUUGGUGUGAUCGUCUUUCUUCUUGGGUUUCAUAGGGUCUGUGAGUUGUAUCAUGGGCAUUUAAUCAUACCUCUCUCGUUGGUUGGUUUUAAUCAUAUCACAUCUUCAAUUUCCUAGGCAUUUUGUCACUAUUUGGCAUGAGCUCCCUUUCCUGGCAUGUGCCUCAAAUUAGAUCAGUCGUUAGUUGGCCACUCCCACAAGUUCUGCUUCUGCAUUGUGUCAGCACAUCUUGCAGUUAAGAUACAAAGUAGGACUCAAAUUUUGUGGAUGGAUUGGUGUCCCAGUCCAACCACCAGAAGCCUUGCUUGUUUACAGUCAAUGGCAUGCCCAGCCUUCAAAUUCUUCUUACCAGGCCUCCUAAUUGAUUCCUGGAAGUUUCUACUGCACUAGGUUUUUAUAUGGCCACUCAAAAUGCCUUUCAAUGACCUCAUACUCUCCUUUCAUUCUUCCCCAAUCACCUGAUCUCUUCUGUCCCCAUCCCUACCCACCCCAAAGAACAUUCCCCAAAAAUCUGUUCUAUUUCUUCUUUCUAAGGAAACCCAUGUGUCUCCCUUAGAGUCUUUCUUGCUAUAUAGCCUUUCUGGGUCUGUAGACGUAGCAUGAGUGUCAAUUACUUAUCAGUUAAAAUGAUCAAUGGGGGAAACUCAAAUGGCUGAGGAGCACACAAAGAGACGUUCAACAUCCUUGGCCGACAGGGAGAUACAAAUCAGUACUACUUUGAGAUUCCAUCUUAACAACUCUCAGGAUGGCUGAGGUUUCACCAUUAUCAAACUCUUGUGCAUUUGAUGCUUGCCUAUGGCGAGGCAGUGGCCCCUACUUGUUUAAGAUGGAGAAACAUCAGGACUACAUUAAGGAAGGAAUGUUUUAUUUAAAGCCUCCGUUGGUAACACACUACCCUAUUUCCCCUUACAAUUUGCUCACUCUAAUUGUUAAAACAUUUCCUGCUAUUUCUGAGCUGUGGAGACCACAAAAAUGUACAGAUGAUGCUCGACCAGGUCUACAUAGAGGAGCAAGUUUGUCUUUCAUCUGUCUUUUAAAAGUGUUUGAGACACUUCUUGGAUUACUUGUUCCUCUUUUACUACUACUUGUUAUUUAGAACUAACCUCCUUAAUGAUACAGGUUUUUAACUGAGUAGUUAGUGAGUCCUCAACGUUCGGAAAGUUUCGAGUGAAAUUCAGCAAGACAGAACACAGACAAGCAAACCCACCAGUAGAUGUAUAGGAAGAAAUGUAGCUGCAAAACUGAUUGCAGUGUGAACUGGGGAUUGUUGGACUCUAUUCCCUGAUUUAUAGUUCUAUUUUAAAGAAUGUAAAAUGCUAUCUCACUUUUAAAAUUUGGGGUAUCUGUUGUAAUUUAAUUUUCAAGGUGAAUUACAAACAAGGAGAAAUUCUUUUAUCAGAUAUUUAGAAACUAAUGGCAUUCUCGAUUAUUUGACAAAACUUUUAAGUACCUAAAUAACAUUAUUAAUCUUAACAGAAUCCAGUUCCAUUUCAGGCAUAAGAUUCUACUUCCGGAGAACAAUUACAUGUGUUAAGAUUUAACUAAAUUUUCCUACUGCCCUGCGUUCUCAAUUUUCUCUGUAUAUCUCAUAUCUCUCAGAGCUCCCAACAUGAGAAAUGAGAAAUGAAAGUAAAUCAAUACCCAGAUGUGUCAAACAUAUUUUAAUCAAGUUUCUCUGUGAAAGAAGACAAUUGUUUUGUGAAGCAUUCCGAACAUAAUAGACUUUAUGAUGGCAUGAAGGAUGAGCUCUGGGGUCCUAUUCAUGUUUGACAUUCUAUAAAGGGCUGAGAAAACACUUUUUGAAGGAAGAUCAACAAGAUAAAAAAGGUUUGAAGCAAAACACACAGUAAGCCAAUAUUCCUGUUCAAAGUGUCACACCAUGAAAUGCCAUCAACAUUUCAAGUUCAGAAGAUGUUAUCGAGAUUUUUAAAUGACAACAAGACAGAAGUACCAUUCGGGGCAUAAGAAUUCCGGUAUUUGGAUUAUUGUUUCUUUUAAGAAAGUGAUCUAACGUGCAUCUCAUUUAUAUUUCAUGCAAUUUUUACAAAAUGUUUACUGACUCACAUUGAUUGAUUUUCAUGGCUGAAGUGUUGCAGAUAUUUCGUUAUUGUUUCCCUAUUAGUAUGAGAUAUGAGAUGUUUGCUGUUUACUUUUACCCAUUUCAUUUACUGUGCUUAUCAUUUAUCAUAUUGGUUUUAUUUACUUUUUAAUCAUUUUUCUUCUGUCUUGUUUUUUUUUAUUUAACCUGAAGUUUCCAAUAAUUACAUGAGUGUAAUGGUUAACUGUGGACACUAAUUUUACCACAGCGAAUAAUAUCUUCAACACUGAUAAAGCAUAAUUGUGAGUAGAAUUUUGAGGCUGUUUCCAGUGUUUGCCCUAUGAAGCUGAAUGGAAUAGGAGAGAGAAUAUGCUGUCAAGUAGCACUCAACAUUAAAUCAUCUGCCAAAGCCAAUAGCUUGUGGAAAUAUGUUAUUAUAGUCAUAUUUCAAUCAGCCAGUCUUGGCCCUGGAUAUUAGACCUCUAGGCCUGGAAAGGGAUCCAUAUCUAG
rnacentral:sRNA from 1 species